UACGUAGGUCCCGAGCGUUAUCCGGAUUUAUUGGGCGUAAAGCGAGCGCAGGCGGUUGGAUAAGUCUGAAGUUAAAGGCUGUGGCUCAACCAUAGUAUGCUUUGGAAACUGUUCAACUUGGGUGCAGAAGGGGAGAGUGGAAUUCCAUGUGUAGCGGUGGAAUGCGUAGAUAUAUGGAGGAACACCGGUGGCGAAAGCGGCUCUCUGGUCUGUAACUGACGCUGAGGCUCGAAAGCGUGGGUAGCGAACAGG
rnacentral:rRNA from 1 species